UGGGGAAUAGCUUUCGAACUUUAUUCUCGGGGAUAUAUAGCAUGGGGUCAUAGUUUGGGAGAGAUAUGGUACUAUACGGUACUUCUCGUGGAGAAAUAGCUCGUCUUCCCUACUGAUAAAAAUAGACUUUCAUCUAACUUUGUUAUAUACAACUGGUUCAACUUGAUAAUUUUUUAAUGCUGGUUAAUUAUGCUAUUACAAACUAUGAGAAUAUUAUAGACGAUUCUAUAGUCGACAAUUCUAUCUGCCUUAUGAAGAUUCACGUUUGAUUGUAUCAUCUGAACCGUCCUGUCUGCCC
rnacentral:lncRNA from 1 species